AGCCACUACAUAUCAAUGGAAACAAUAACUUCAACAUAAAUAAUACAUUCCGUUUAAGUUUACGUCGGAGCAUGGGCAAAAUGAAAAAAAAAGAUAAACUAGACAUUCCGUCAAAAUGGGUUACAAUAAAUAGGGUCUUUGUUACAACGUAUAUUUUGAAUAUUCAGUUACAAUGUCGCUGUGAAAUGUUCAAUCUUUCUUCACGAUAUUUUUUUGAUUGUUUCUGUGGACAAAGCUGCAAACAAUAUUGAUUUUGUUUGUGUAAAUCCAACUAAGAGUGUAUAAGUAUUCCUGGUGCGGGUUAAGGUUCGAGUAGCACAUGAGUUUUUAAAAGUGUUGUUUUUAUUUUAUACACCCUUGUAUUUACAUUUAAGUCGACUUUAUAGGAAAACUGUAUACUAGCAUGCCAUUAUGUUUUACUGUAUGCAUUAUCAAGUAACGCAUCUUUGUCAGAAGUAUGUGUAUGCUUGUUUAA
rnacentral:lncRNA from 1 species